GUGGGGGAUAUUGCACAAUGGAGGAAACUCUGAUGCAGCGACGCCGCGUGAGUGAAGAAGUAUUUCGGUAUGUAAAGCUCUAUCAGCAGGGAAGAUAAUGACAGUACCUGACUAAGAAGCCCCGGCUAACUACGUGCCAGCAGCCGCGGUAAUACGUAGGGGCAAGCGUUAUCCGGAUUUACUGGGUGUAAAGGGAGCGUAGACGGAAUGGCAAGUCUGAAGUGAAAUCCUGCGGCUUAACUGCAGAAUUGCUUUGGAAACUGUCAAUCUGGAGUGUUGGAGAGGUAAGCGGAAUUCCUGGUGUAGCGGUGAAAUGCGUAGAUAUCAGGAAGAACACCGGAGGCGAAGGCGGCUUACUGGACAAUAACUGACGUUGAGGCUCGAAAGCGUGGGAAGCAAACAGGAUUAGAAACCCCGGUAGUCC
rnacentral:rRNA from 1 species